rnacentral:rRNA from 1 species
UGGGGAAUUUUGGACAAUGGGGGCAACCCUGAUCCAGCCAUGCCGCGUGCGGGAAGAAGGCCUUCGGGUUGUAAACCGCUUUCGGCCGGAACGAAAUCGGCGGGAUGAAUAGUCUUGCUGGAUGACGGUACCGGAAGAAGAAGCACCGGCUAACUACGUGCCAGCAGCCGCGGUAAUACGUAGGGUGCGAGCGUUAAUCGGAAUUACUGGGCGUAAAGCGUGCGCAGGCGGCCGCAUAAGCCAGAGGUGAAAUCCCCGGGCUCAACCUGGGAAUGGCCUUUGGGACUGUGUGGCUGGAGUGCGGCAGAGGGGGGUGGAAUUCCUGGUGUAGCAGUGAAAUGCGUAGAGAUCGGGAGGAACACCGAUGGCGAAGGCAGCCGUCUGGGUCGACACUGACGCUGAGGCGCGAAGGCGUGGGGAGCAAACAGG